rfam:Schistosoma haematobium scaffold40_12, whole genome shotgun sequence.
AUUCAGUUGACGAGUCCCCAAUAAGACGAAGCACAAGUCCUGGAU